UAGCGAAAGCGAGUUUUAACUGAGCGUUCAGUUACUUGACGUAGACCCGAAACCGGGCGACCUACCCAUGAGCAGGAUGAAGCGAAAGUAAAAUUUCGUGGAGGUCCGAACCCACGAGCGUUGAAAAGCUCGGGGAUGACUUGUGGGUAGCGGUGAAAUUCCAAUCGAGCCCGGAGAUAGCUGGUUCUCCCCGAAAUAGCUUUAGGGCUAGCCUCAAGGUGAGAGAUACGGAGGUAGAGCACUGAAUGUCCUAGGGGGUAUUGCACCUACCGAAGACUAUCAAACUCCGAAUGCCGUCAUCUUAUACUUGGGAGUCAGACUGUGGGUGAUAAGAUUCAUAGUCGAAAGGG
rnacentral:rRNA from 1 species